UGCCUUUCCUUAUAUCAAGUGUUGUUCCUCUCCUUCCCUAAAAUUGUAACCGGUUUUCUUCCUAUCUCACUCAAAAAACCCUAAGACAACUCCCUACCACCAUUUACCCUUGCUCUCUCUAGAAAACCUUGACUGAAAUUUCUCACCAUUAGCCCUUUCUUUGUCUGCGGAAAGGUCAUCGGCUAUUCUUGCUAGAGAAUAUUCAUUGAAGUGAUGAUGGCUCUCUUUCCUCACCGAAGACUUUCAAUCACCCCUUCUAGAUCUAAACGUAGUGUAUACCAGGUAGUACCUUUACAACUACCAACCCUCGACACCACCACCAUAACCACCAUUGAUUCUCCUUUCUCCGAUAUCUUUCUCUAUGUAUCUCAUUCUACAAAUCUUACUAAAAACCUCAAUCAUCUUCUUAAGCCAUCACCACUAACCCUAGGAUCGAUUAUCUAUCUUGUGUUAGUAUAAACUCAUGACGAAGAACAUGGCCCUCUCACAGCCAACCACUCUCCAUCACCAGUUUGAAGGUACGACAUCCUCCCAAGUACUUUCAUAUUUGUUAACCCCUUUCAUUCUCUUUGCUUCAUCUCUUUCGUUCACAAAACCUUGCAGCACCACUCACCCUUUCACUUUUUCUACACACUACCUAAAUGCCACCACCAUAAGCACCAUCGCUCACCCUCUUCCUCUCAGUCACUGUAAUACUAGACGUUGCCGCCCCUUCUCCCUCUCACAAUACAACCAUGCCACCACUGUUAUUCGUUUUUUAUACCACCACCAUCGCUCUCCCCAUUUGCGGCCAUGACCAUUGAAGACACCCACCAUCAAAACCUGCUUUUCCUUUAACCACCAUUCUUUUUCUCCCUGUUAAAUAACUAUAUUCACACUUCAUCAUGUUUCUGUAUCUCCCUACGUUUUCAGAGGAAGACGUAAUCGAGUCUAUUAGAUUAUCUUUCACAUAUUUUGGGCAAUCUUGAUUUGGAAUAAAUUUGAUUCUUGGUUUAUUUUGGGCAAUCCGUUGCUUACACAUCUGCAAAAAUUGAACUAAUUUUUUUUAUUAUGUUCACUAUGGCAAUCUGAUAAAAGGCCUAAGAAAAGUCAUGGUGAAGUACCUAUUGAGAGCCUUACGUAUAUAAUACUACAAUGUAGAUGAGGCCAAUAAAACAUGAUCCUACAUGUAUAGGCACCGAGUCUUAUACCAAUUUGGUGACCAAUAAGCAAAUCAUGCUUUAGAUAUGCUCAAGGUUUUGAAAGGGAAACGUAUCCCUAUUAAAAUUUUCAAAAUUCCAUCACACAGUGCUGGAAAGGAUAAAAUUGGUAUUGUAUAUGUUUCAAGUGAUGUAAGUUAGAAUCUCUAUCCAGGGAUGUGAGGACUUGCAAGUUGUAGAUGGAACCAUCUUUUGAUGUUGAGCUCAGGUAAUCCUCAUGUAGAUUUUCCAUUUUCUUACUGAUGUAUCCGAGAGUUCGAGGAGGUUGCUAUGUAUUGAUGAUACUUUCAAGAAAACGAAGAGAUUAAUCAAGAUUUGGGAAUAUGAAGAAAACCCAUCAAUCAAACUCACCAAUCUCGCCUAAAAUAUAUGUUAUUUUUUCCUCUUGGUUUCUAAAAUCUUUGUUUUAUGCAUUAUAGAAUUAAAUUGUGCACUCAACCUUCUGAUAUCGAGCUCUUCUUCCCAUUCUAUUUGAUGGCAAAUCCUUGGCUACCCAAGCAUAACCAGAUUAGUGCAAUUUCUCUAGUAUGAAAACUUUCUAGAAAGUAUGGGACGCUAAUAUCCUAACAUUGGUGACUUUCCAGGUAUUUGUAUGUUUGAAUCUUUAUUUUAGGGAGGUUUUUGCAUAGAAAACUAUAUAAAACAAUAACCUCAUAUUCUGAAUGUAUUUUUUGGUUGAAGGGUGUAUUUUAGGAGAAAACAUAUUGAUUGGCAAUAUUAUUGUUUUGAUUAGUCAGAUGUGGACGAAAAUUACUUCGAUUUAGUAUUAUUUCCACAAUCUUUCUAUCUAUAUUUUUUAUUAUAUUUGUAUUUUUUCUUAUUUUUGGAUCCAAAUGUAUGAGUGGUUAAUUUCAUUCAGUGUAGUUGUUCUGUUGGGUUUCAAUUUAAAGAUAGGGGUCCUCAUGCUGUGCACAUAUCAAUGAUCUUCUGUUGUUGACCAUGUAUGUCCCAUACCCUUAACUAGGUGCAGGUUAGUGUUGUGGUUUCUAUGGAACCUGUAAACGGAGAAGGAAGAGCACAAACACGAUAGGGAGACUUAUUCAAGUUGGAAGACCUUUUUGUUCCUCUUUUUCUCUUCACUUUCUCACAUCACCACCGCACCAACAAAAACUCUAUUAUGGAUCAAAGGUGUAUUUGACUGGUUAUUGGUCGACCCAUGUGACGGAAGCUAUGCACCUUCACAGAACAAAAUCAUCCCAAAAUAAUUUUACUGCAUUUAAGCAUAGAUAUCAAGUAUUUCCCUCAGUUCAUGGUGGCUCCUUUGCCCCUGUUCAUACUAGGUAUUUAUUCUUCUAGAGGUUCAUCAUUUGGGUCGACAAAUAGUAUUUGAGCAACUUUUUACAUUAUUCGGUGUAAUACAAAAAAUGAAACAUCUGAGUUCAAAUGGAUUGGACUAAAGUUAAAGAGGUUGCUCAAGUUUCAAAAAAUUUGGUUCUUAUUUGCUAACGUUUCAUCAACCUCUUAAAGUACAAUGCUACACAUGGUUUGCUGCUCUAAAGUAUAACACUAUUUCUGUCUAUAUGUUUUGGUCAUGUGGUUUUUUGUUUAUUUUUGUAGUGUUCCUUUGUAUCUUUAUGUAAGACUUUGGUUUCAUCAAACACUUUUUAUUUUUAUUUUUUUUAAAUUAUUGUUCCCAACUUAUGAUUGCAUGUUUUUAUCUACUUUUGGACAGUGAUGUUUGUUCUUAUGUAUAAAAAUAACAUUCAAACACAAAGCAAUUUAACUC